rnacentral:rRNA from 1 species
GAUGAACGCUGGCGGCGUGCCUAAUACAUGCAAGUCGAGCGAAUGGAUUAGGAGCUUGCUCUUAUGAAGUUAGCGGCGGACGGGUGAGUAACACGUGGGUAACCUGCCCAUAAGACUGGGAUAACUCCGGGAAACCGGGGCUAAUACCGGAUAACAUUUUGAACCGCAUGGUUCGAAAUUGAAAGGCGGCUUCGGCUGUCACUUAUGGAUGGACCCGCGUCGCAUUAGCUAGUUGGUGAGGUAACGGCUCACCAAGGCAACGAUGCGUAGCCGACUUGAGAGGGUGAUCGGCCACACUGGGACUGAGACACGGCCCAGACUCCUACGGGAGGUAGCAGUAGGGAAUCUUCCGCAAUGGACGAAAGUCUGACGGAGCAACGCCGCGUGAGUGAUGAAGGCUUUCGGGUCGUAAAACUCUGUUGUUAGGGAAGAACAAGUGCUAGUUGAAUAAGCUGGCACCUUGACGGUACCUAACCAGAAAGCCACGGCUAACUACGUGCCAGCAGCCGCAGUAA